rnacentral:rRNA from 1 species
GUCUUUUUGAGUUAUUUUUAAAGUCUGACCUGCCCACUGAAUUUUAAAUGGCCGCAGUAUUCUAACUGUGCAAAGGUAGCAUAAUCAUUAGUCUUUUAAUUGAAGGCUGGUAUGAACGGUUGGACGAGGUAUAAGCUGUUUCAUAUAAAUUUAUAUUAGAAUUUUAUAUUUUAGUUAAAAAGCUAAAAUUUAGUUAAAAGACGAGAAGACCCUAUAAAUCUUUAUAUUUUGUUUAAUUUAAAUUUUUUUGAUUUGUUUUAUUUUUAUUAUAUUAAAUAUUUUGUUGGGGUGAUGUUAAAAUUUAAUGAACUUUUAAUUGUUUUAAAUCAUUAAUUUAUGAAUUAUUGAUCCAUUAAUAGUGAUUAUAAGAUUAAGUUACUUUAGGGAUAACAGCGUAAUUUUUUUGGAGAGUUCUUAUCGAUAAAAAAGUUUGCGACCUCGAUGUUGGAUUAAGAUAUAAUUUUAGGUGUAGUCGCUUAAAUUUUAAGUCUGUUCGACUUUUAAAUUCUU